rnacentral:rRNA from 1 species
CCUCCAAGGCUAAAUACUCCUGACUGACCGAUAGUGAACCAGUACCGUGAGGGAAAGGCGAAAAGAACCCCGGCGAGGGGAGUGAAAAAGAACCUGAAACCGUGUACGUACAAGCAGUGGGAGCACCUUCGGGUGUGACUGCGUACCUUUUGUAUAAUGGGUCAGCGACUUAUAUUCUGUAGCAAGGUUAACCGUAUAGGGGAGCCGCAGGGAAACCGAGUCUUAACUGGGCGUUAAGUUGCAGGGUAUAGACCCGA